GAUGAACGCUGGCGGCGUGCCUAAUACAUGCAAGUCGAGCGAACGGACGAGAAUCUUGCUUUUCUGAUGUUAGCGGCGGACGGGUGCGUAACACGUGGAUAACCUACCUAUAAGACUGGGAUAACUUCUGGAAACCGGAGCUAGUACCGGAUAAUAUUUUGAACCGCAUGGUUCAAACGUGAAUGACGGUCUUGCUGUCACUUAUAGAUGGUUCCGCGCUGCAUUAGCUAGUGGGUAAGGUAACGGCUUACCAAGGCAACGAUGCAUAGCCGACCAGGGAGAUGGUCAGGCGCUGGUGCGAGAGGGAGACCGUCCAGACUGCUACGGGAGGCAGCCGCAGGGUAUCUCCCGCGGUGGGCGUAGGCAUUACGGAGCAACGCGGCGUAGGUUGAGGGGGUCUUCGGACCUUAAAGCUCUGUGAUUAGGGAUGAACAUAUUUGUAAGUAACUGUGCACAUCUUGACGGUACCUAAUCAGAAAGCCACGGCUAACUACGUG
rnacentral:rRNA from 1 species